GACUGAUGCUUCGACGAUUGCCGGCUCCCUCUGCAUGCAUCACUCAAACUUCUUACCCCCGCUCUAAGGUUUGAAUUCAGGAACAGAGGAGCUUAUGAGUAAAACGGGUUAGUGCUGCUGAUGGAAAUGGAAGAAAUCCACGGCCGAAGCUCUUUUCAUCGGAUCAAUUUCCCGACUAACGCCGUCAAUAUGACGCGUCUCACAGCUCCAGAAAAGGUGAGAGCGUUUAUUAAUUCAGCCAUAAGUGUUACGCUCUAUUAUUUGCUCACCCGCCACCUCUCCAUUCCUUUUGUGAGUGAUACGUUGUGUGUUCGGAGUCGCCACACUUUGGCACCUGCCUCCAUCCAUAAUUGAUGGGCAGGGCCAGAGGACAUGUCAUAGCCACUCCGCACAGCCUCCGACUGACAAGGCCACACAGAGUGGCAGGGAAACACUUCGCUUCCUCACCCCAUCUACAUUCCGCGCACACGUCACACGUUCCUGCACUUCUGGGAUGGACAGCCACACUGGCAGAUGGAGGUCAGCAACGAGGCCUCAGCAAGGGAAGCUGAAGUCAACUUUCCAAAUCAUGUGGAUACAGUUUGUUUGUGUUUGAACUAAGGGGGGAGAUUACCUUUCAUGUGUGGUCAGGUUUCGCCUUUGUUGUCAGUGCCCGCACCAAGCCCGGAUCCCCUCCGCCAGAUCCCAAUGAAGCCAGAUCAUUUUCUGAAUCUCAUUCCUUCGACAGUUGUCUGCAAUCUGCUGCGCCGAACCCCAGCUCUCAUCUGCCUGCCUGUCUGCUCUCAUCCGACACUCAUUCACAAAACUCUACAUUGUUCGGUUUCGCUCUCACCCUCCAGUGGAAACCUGUGUGAGGAAGUCCUCUCCUUCGGAUCACAAUCACGCUACCAGGAUUAGGAGUAUCUCCUUCUGCAUCAUCAUUUUUGCAUCCACAAGUGAGCAGUGGAACUAGCGCUCUCACACGCAGCAUCAAACCACCUUCCUCCUUUUCCAGAGACCGCCAAGUCAGAGUCUCUAUGCUGCAGCUGUCUCCAAAGACAAUUUUCGUGUGAAAGCCUUAGCAGUAAACCUUUACUUUAGUCCUGAGGGUAAUUUCUGCAUGUGUGUCAGGAAACUAAAGCAAAACAUGACAGAAUCAAAUAUGGCAGGUCUGAAGGGUUGGCCUUUGCAUGACUUAGUUUAGCAAGUACCAACUGAAACUGUUCCUCCCACAUUAAUCACAUCACUAAAAAACGGUGAUGUUUAAUAAGACCACAGAUACCAACUACUUGACUUUUUCACAUUAUGUGAAAUUAUAGCCAUAAACCUUAUUGCGCUGUAUUUUACUGUAAGGGAAAACCUUUCCCUGAUUUUCAAAACAUUUCACAAAUCCAUCCACUGUCUACACCUGCUUCUCCAUGCAGGAGGAUGUUGGUGCUUAUCUCCAGUGCUCAUUAGGCAAGAGGCGGGGUACACCCUGGACAGGUUACCAGUCCAUCACGGUGACACACAAGCUGGCACACACACAAUCACUUUUUAGGGCUACUUGGAGAGACCAAUUAACCUAAGAGUCAUGGUUUUGGACUGGGAGGAAGUCUGAGUACCAGGAGGGCACUCACACAUGCACGGGGAGAACCUGCAGAAAACCAACAGGCUGGGGUUUAACCCAAAUCUAUCUUGCUGUAAGGCAACAGCGCUACCAGCUGCGACAUUGUGCAUCUCCCCAUUUUACAAAUAAAAACCUGAAAAGUGUGGCGUGCGUCUAUAAUCAACCCACCCCUCGAGUUAAAACAGCCACAAGUCUUCUGCAUAUCUUACAUACUGACAUUUUUGGUCAGCUCGAGCUCAGAUUGGUUGGAAGGCAUCAGUGAAUAGAAGAAUCCUUCAUUGUCACUCAGUGGAGGAAUUCAGGUGUCCCAGCAACACAGUGAAAGGCAAAUGGAAGCAUGUAGAUACAAAACGUAAAUAUU